rnacentral:rRNA from 1 species
GUGUCAGCAGCCGCGGUAAUACGUAGGUGGCAAGCGUUGUCCGGAAUUAUUGGGCGUAAAGGGCGCGUAGGCGGGACAGUAAGUCGGUCUUAAAAGUGCGGGGCUCAACCCCGUGAUGGGACGGAAACUAUUGUUCUUGAGUGCAGGAGAGGAAAGUGGAAUUCCCAGUGUAGCGGUGAAAUGCGUAGAUAUUGGGAGGAACACCAGUGGCGAAGGCGACUUUCUGGACUGUAACUGACGCUGAGGCGCGAAAGCUAGGGAAGUGAACGGGAUUAGAUACCCCGGUAAUCCUAGCCGUAAACGAUGGGUACUAGGUGUAGGAGGGUUCGAUACCUUCUGUGCCGGAGUUAACGCAAUAAGUACCCCGCCUGGGGAGUACGGCCGCAAGGUUGAA